rnacentral:lncRNA from 1 species
CUGGGAGUAUAUAUUGGAACACUGUUAACAUAAGGCUUACGACAAUGAAAUUCUCCCAGAUACACAUUCAACAGAAACACAUAUCCCCACCAAAACACAUGUACUACAAUGUGUGUAUUCAUAGCGGCACUAUUUCAUAGUUGACAAAUUCUGGAAGCAACCCAAAUUCUCAUUCAUAGUAGAAUGGAUAAAUGUAAAUAUCCACCCACACAAUGCACUACUCAACAGUAUAGAUGAGUAUCAUUAACAUAAUGGUGCUUGAAAGAAACCAGAUGUAAAAUAAUACAUAUGACUCUGUCAUAUAAUAGACAAAACAUGGCAAAAUAAAUCUGUUAAGCCAAGCUAGUGAUGGCCAUGUUGGGAGAGCUUCUGGGUGAGGGUCUGUUAAUCUUGGUUACAUUGGGUGUGCAAUUUGUGAAAUUCAUUGUGCUGUACGCUGACAGUAGAUUUUAUGUAUCUUAUACUUUUAGAGUUAAAAAAUGUACUUUUUUUUUUUUGAGACAGAGUCUCCCUUUGUUAUCUAGGCUGCAGUGCAGUGGCACAAUCUCAGCUCAUUGCAACCUCCGCCUCCCAGGUUCAAGCAGUUCUCCUGCCUCAACCUCCCGAGUAGCUGGGAUUACAGAUGCCCACCACCACGCCCGGCUAAUUUUUCUAUUUUUAGUAGAGACGGGGUUUCGCCACGUUGGCCAGGCUGCUGUCAAACUCCUGACCUCAGGUGACCAUGCUGGUGAGGCGCCUGGACUCCAGUCAGAUAACCCAGCAUCAACUCUGCUGUGACCCUUACCAGCUGUGUGACUUUGGGCAACUUAUUUAACCUACCUAUGCCUGUUUUCUUCAUGUAUAACUAAAGGUGAUAGUGAACCUAAUGAGGAUUAAAUUGCGCAAUGAAUAAGCACUUACCACAGUGCCUAGCAUAGUAAACAUUUAAUACAUGUAUUAAAGAAUUGGAGCAAUGGUCUUGCAACCUUUUCCACAACCCCCCCAGCCCUUUAAUUCAGAAAACCUGCCUAAAAAUGAAGCCCAAAGUGUAAGCACAAUAAAAACAAUAAAAGUGGAGCCCUUGAAUAGAGUGGGUAGGAGCCUUGGCUCCAGAGAAAACGCAUAUAUGUGCAUAGGAUCAGAAUGAAAUGUCCCAUUUUAAGUUUACCUUCCCUGCUAUGAGCUACCACCACCAUUACAAGAGGACACUAAAUUUCACAGAUGGUGGUGAAUGACUGGGGCUCACCUGAUUUUGCUUAAUAAGGAUCUCUUAUGGACUACAAAAUCAAAUUCCUAUGCCUGUACCGAAAAAUCCAGAUUUCUCUAAAAUGGCCCCAUAGGCCUGGUUUCCUGCAUGGCUGCCCCUGGCUGAAGAAUGCUUCAUUCGGUCUGUCCAGUCUCUGGCAUUCUGUGGUUUCCCUACAGAAACCACGUGUUUGCUUUUUUUAUAGUAGAGAAAUCUUACCACUAUCUCUGUGUGUUAACAAUCUGGCUCCUGCUUUGAGGUGCACCUUCACUUAAUGGUGCCUCGUAAACAGAUUGCAGCAGUGAGAUCAGCCGGGCUUCAGCUGAUUAAACACCCAGUUGGGAACACCCAGCUGGGAACACACUGUCUCUGUUCUUUACUAAAGCAAAGUCCACUCUUUCACACCGGCUCCUCUGCUGUCCUAUCUUACAGACCUUGGCUUUCUUUUCCAUCUCUGGACGAUGUUGAUCCUCACCUGGUUCUAGUUCCUGCCUUACCUUAUUCUAAUAUUGAUGGCCUGCUUCUGGCAAUUUACACUGCCUUGUUUCACUUCACUUCAUCUUGUUUAACC